GACGAACGCUGGCGGCGUGCUUAACACAUGCAAGUCGAACGGAAAGGCCUGUCCUUCCUUGUGUUGGACGGGUACUCGAGUGGCGAACGGGUGAGUAACACGUGAGUGAUCUGCCCCCAACUUGGGUAUAAGCCUGGGAAACUGGGUCUAAUUCCCGAUAGGACUGCAGGGUGGUGCCUGUGGUGGAAAACGUUUUCUAGUGGUUGGGGAUGAGCUCGCGGCCUAUCAGCUUGUUGGUGGGGUAAUGGCCUACCAAGGCGGCGACGGGUAGCCGGCCUGAGAGGGUGGACGGCCACAUUGGGACUGAGAUACGGCCCAGACUCCUACGGGAGGCAGCAGUGGGGAAUAUUGCACAAUGGGCGGAAGCCUGAUGCAGCGACGCCGCGUGGGGGAUGACGGCCUUCGGGUUGUAAACUCCUUUCGACCGCGAGGAAGCCGCCUGGUUGGAAGGGUGGUGACGGUAGUGGUAGAAGAAGCACCGGCUAACUACGUGCCAGCAGCCGCGGUAAUACGUAGGGUGCGAGCGUUGUCCGGAUUUACUGGGCGUAAAGAGCUCGUAGGUGGCUUGUCGCGUCGUCUGUGAAAGUCUGGGGCUUAACUCCGGGUGUGCAGGCGAUACGGGCUGGCUUGAGUGCUGUAGGGGAGACUGGAAUUCCUGGUGUAGCGGUGGAAUGCGCAGAUAUCAGGAGGAACACCGAUGGCGAAGGCAGGUCUCUGGGCAGUCACUGACGCUGAGGAGCGAGAGCAUGGGUAGCGAGCAGG
rnacentral:rRNA from 1 species